rnacentral:misc_RNA from 1 species
UCAUAACCAAACCCAUAUCGUAUAUAACAAUUUACAGCACAUUGAACAAAUGAAUCUUCAAAUUCCUUGUGUUUUCCAGUAACAGGGUUCCAUAUCAUAAGUUUAAAUGACAUAGGGGUUAAACAAAUCAACCCAUUACAAGAACCCAAAAAUUUUGCAGAUCCAAAAGGAGGUUUUAAUGGGUAAUCAAUUUUAUCAACAUUUACAGAGGAAUUUUCACAAUCAAGAGAGUAAACAGAGCACAUUUUACCCAUUAAACCAGCUACUGAAGCUACAAUAACAAGUCUUAGAUUCACAUUUUUGGAUUUUUUAACACAAAAUUUGAUCUGGGUAUUGAUGAAAUAUGGAGUUGAGA